rnacentral:rRNA from 1 species
GACGAACGCUGGCGGCGUGCUUAACACAUGCAAGUCGAACGGUAAGGCUCCAGCUUGCUGGGGUACACGAGUGGCGAACGGGUGAGUAACACGUGGGUGACCUGCCCUGCACUUCGGGAUAAGCCUGGGAAACUGGGUCUAAUACCGGAUAGGACCGCACCGUGAGGGUGUGGUGGAAAGUUUUUUCGGUGUGGGAUGGGCCCGCGGCCUAUCAGCUUGUUGGUGGGGUAAUGGCCUACCAAGGCGGCGACGGGUAGCCGGCCUGAGAGGGUGGACGGCCACAUUGGGACUGAGACACGGCCCAGACUCCUACGGGAGGCAGCAGUGGGGAAUAUUGCACAAUGGGCGGAAGCCUGAUGCAGCGACGCCGCGUGGGGGAUGACGGCCUUCGGGUUGUAAACUCCUUUCACCAUCGACGAAGGGUUUCUGACGGUAGAUGGAGAAGAAGCACCGGCUAACUACGUGCCAGCAGCCGCGGUAAUACGUAGGGUGCGAGCGUUGUCCGGAAUUACUGGGCGUAAAGAGCUCGUAGGUGGUUUGUCGCGUCGUCUGUGAAAUUCCGGGGCUUAACUCCGGGCGUGCAGGCGAUACGGGCAUAACUUGAGUACUGUAGGGGAGACUGGAAUUCCUGGUGUAGCGGUGAAAUGCGCAGAUAUCAGGAGGAACACCGGUGGCGAAGGCGGGUCUCUGGGCAGUAACUGACGCUGAGGAGCGAAAGCAUGGGGAGCGAACAGGAUUAGAUACCCUGGUAGUCCAUGCCGUAAACGGUGGGCGCUAGGUGUGGGUUUCCUUCCACGGGAUCCGUGCCGUGGCUAACGCAUUAAGCGCCCCGCCUGGGGAGUACGGCCGCAAGGCUAAAACUCAAAGGAAUUGACGGGGGCCCGCACAAGCGGCGGAGCAUGUGGAUUAAUUCGAUGCAACGCGAAGAACCUUACCUGGGCUUGACAUAUACAGGAUCGCGCCAGAGAUGGUGUUUCCCUUGUGGCUUGUAUACAGGUGGUGCAUGGUUGUCGUCAGCUCGUGUCGUGAGAUGUUGGGUUAAGUCCCGCAACGAGCGCAACCCUUGUCUUAUGUUGCCAGCACGUUGUGGUGGGGACUCGUAAGAAACUGCCGGGGUUAACUCGGAGGAAGGUGGGGAUGACGUCAAAUCAUCAUGCCCCUUAUGUCCAGGGCUUCACACAUGCUACAAUGGUCGGUACAGUGGGUUGCCAGUCCGUGAGGGCGAGCUAAUCCCGCAAAGCCGGUCUCAGUUCGGAUCGGGGUCUGCAACUCGACCCCGUGAAGUCGGAGUCGCUAGUAAUCGCAGAUCAGCAACGCUGCGGUGAAUACGUUCCCGGGCCU